rnacentral:rRNA from 1 species
GACGGAGGGUGCUAGCGUUGUUCGGAAUCACUGGGCGUAAAGGGCGCGUAGGCGGCUGUGGCAGUCGGGUGUGAAAGCCCGGAGCUCAACUCCGGAACGGCACUCGAGACGCCACGGCUGGAGGCCGGAAGAGGAGGGUGGAAUACCCAGUGUAGAGGUGAAAUUCGUAGAUAUUGGGUGGAACACCGGUGGCGAAAGCGGCUCUCUGGUCCGGACCUGACGCUGAGGCGCGAAAGCGUGGGGAGCAAAC